rnacentral:rRNA from 2 species
GGUGGUCACAGCGACAGGGAAACGCCCGGCCCCAUCCCGAACCCGGAAGCUAAGCCUGACAGCGCCGAUGGUACUG